GACGAACGCUGGCGGCGUGCUUAACACAUGCAAGUCGAACGGAAAGGCCCUGCUUUUGUGGGGUGCUCGAGUGGCGAACGGGUGAGUAACACGUGAGUAACCUGCCCUUGACUUUGGGAUAACUUCAGGAAACUGGGGCUAAUACCGGAUAGGAGCUCCUGCUGCAUGGUGGGGGUUGGAAAGUUUCGGCGGUUGGGGAUGGACUCGCGGCUUAUCAGCUUGUUGGUGGGGUAGUGGCUUACCAAGGCUUUGACGGGUAGCCGGCCUGAGAGGGUGACCGGCCACAUUGGGACUGAGAUACGGCCCAGACUCCUACGGGAGGCAGCAGUGGGGAAUAUGGCACAAUGGGCGGAAGCCUGAUGCAGCAACGCCGCGUGCGGGAUGACGGCCUUCGGGUUGUAAACCGCUUUCGCCUGUGACGAAGCGUGAGUGACGGGAAUGGGUAAAGAAGCACCGGCUAACUACGU
rnacentral:rRNA from 1 species